rnacentral:rRNA from 1 species
UGAGGAAUAUUGGUCAAUGGGGGCAACCCUGAACCAGCCAUGCCGCGUGAAGGAUGAAGGCCUUAUGGGUUGUAAACUUCUUUUGUAUGGGGCGAACAGUUUCUACGUGUUAGAGGCCUGACAGUACCAUACGAAUAAGCAUCGGCUAACUCCGUGCCAGCAGCCGCGGUAAUACGGAGGAUGCGAGCGUUAUCCGGAUUUACUGGGUUUAAAGGGUGAGUAGGCGGGUAGGUAAGUCAGUGGUGAAAGUCUGUCGCUUAACGAUAGGAUUGCCAUUGAUACUGCUUAUCUUGAGUUCAGUUGAGGCAGGCGGAAUGUGCAGUGUAGCGGUGAAAUGCUUAGAUAUUGCACAGAACACCGAUUGCGAAGGCAGCUUGCUAAACUGAUACUGACGCUGAGUCACGAAAGCGUGGGGAUCAAACAGG